rnacentral:ncRNA from 1 species
CCAAAGGCUCUUUUCAGAGCCACCCACCAGAUCAAGCAGAGGAGCU